CCUACGGGAGACAGCAGUGGGGAAUAUUGCGCAAUGGGCGAAAGCCUGACGCAGCGACGCCGCGUGAGGGAUGAAGGUCUUCGGAUCGUAAACCUCUGUCAGCAGGGAAGAACGGUCACUGUGCUAAUCAGCAGUGAAUUGACGGUACCUGCAAAGGAAGCACCGGCUAACUCCGUGCCAGCAGCCGCGGUAAUACGGAGGGUGCGAGCGUUAAUCGGAAUUACUGGGCGUAAAGCGCUCGUAGGCGGUAUGUCAAGUCAAGGGUGAAAUCCCCGCGCUCAACGUGGGAACUGCCUUUGAAACGGGCAAACUGGAGUGUGUGAGAGGAUAGUGGAAUUCCAGGUGUAGGAGUGAAAGCCGUAGAUAUCUGGAGGAACAUCAGUGGCGAAGGCGACUAUCUGGCACAUAACUGACGCUGAGGAGCGAAAGCGUGGGUAGCAAACAGGAUUAGAUACCCUAGUAGUC
rnacentral:rRNA from 1 species